AACGAACGCUGGCGGCAGGCUUGACACAUGCAAGUCGAGCGCCCCGCAAGGGGAGCGGCAGACGGGUGAGUAACGCGUGGGAAUCUACCCAUCUCUACGGAAUAACGCAUGGAAACGUGUGCUAAUACCGUAUACGUCCUUCGGGAGAAAGAUUUAUCGGAGAUGGAUGAGCCCGCGUUGGAUUAGCUAGUUGGUGGGGUAAAGGCCUACCAAGGCGACGAUCCAUAGCUGGUCUGAGAGGAUAAUCAGCCACACUGGGACUGAGACACGGCCCAGACGCCUACGGGAGGCAGCAGUGGGGAAUAUUGGACAAUGGGCGCAAGCCUGAUCCAGCCAUGCCGCGUGAGUGAUGAAGGCCCUAGGCUUGUAAAGCUCUUUCACCGGUGAAGAUAAUGACGGUAACCGGAGAAGAAGCCCCGGCUAACUUCGUGCCAGCCGCCGCGGUAACAC
rnacentral:rRNA from 1 species